UCUAAAAGUGUUACUAAUAGAUACCGUGA
rnacentral:piRNA from 1 species